rnacentral:lncRNA from 1 species
AAAGUUUCACAUCAUAGAUCUUUUUGAGAUUCCUUCCGAGUUCUCCCCCCGCUACCACAAAGAUCACUGCCCAGCCACCGCUCGAGAGUACCCCCGCUGCGAGCCAAAUCUUUCCCCCACGGCAACCCUCUAGAUGCGGGCAUUCCAUCCAAUAAUUCCUCCCCCCCUCCUCUCUCUCUCUCUCUCUCUCUCUCUCUCUCUCUCUCUCU